rnacentral:lncRNA from 1 species
GGUGUGCGUUGCAGGUAAAGUUAGAUAUUAGGACAAUCUAGCUCAUGAUGUUUUACCCUGGUGAAUAUGAUUCAAUCAUAUAUGAUUAAAAAAAUAUAUAUUAUGUGUUACUACUUUGCAAUGCAACAUUUGUCCUACCAUAACCCUAACCCAUGACCCAUCUUCAUACAGCGAAAUGAUUUGAACACAGGGUUUUUUUUAAGAACUUGUCUGGGGGGUGGGCAUCUACAAAAAGGGACCACACUAUAUUGAGUGUGGAGAGAUGACAGAUGGUUGUUGGUGACAAAAAGUUUGGUGUGGUAUCGUAUGUACGAGUAGGGGG